rnacentral:lncRNA from 1 species
CAGGACCUCAGCAUCCUUUUACAAUAAACUUUUUGCAACUAUAUUUACUGCAAAACAAUCAUGGGCAGAAAUGAUCCACAAUGAAACCAUAGAACAAAGUUGAAAAAAAUUAAGUAUAGAAGACAACAAGAAAAAUGAAAAAAAAGGAAUCCUCUGGAAUCUUCACAUCAAGUGCUACAACCCUUCAUUUGAUGCAUUGCUGAAGCAUCAACAUCUGUUGUGUAUGGGAUCAGACCCCCUCCGGACUCUUCUGUCACUCAUCCUGUUUGGAUCAACAGAUGAAGCUCUCUUGGCCGGGUAGCCCUUGUUGUGGAGGUUGGCAACAGUCCUCUCAGCAAGCAUCCGCGGCUUGUUCCCUUGUCUGAGGAAAAGACUAACGCCUUUCAAGCCGUAUGCCUUCUGCUGAUGAGCUAACAGCAACAGGCAUAGAAGAAUGGUUAGGAGCCUCUUGGCAAGCACUGCCAUUUCCCCUCCAAUGUUUCCUCCUGUGAGUAACACUAGUUUGU